GGGGAAUUAAACUAUUUAAUAAAUAAAAGGGCAAAGCUUAAUAGAUCCACCAGCAAAAUGUGCACUUUUAUGAAAGCAGAUCAUACUUUUAAAAACAUAAAUAAGUUGCAAAACUUCUAUUUUGGUAAUUACAUCUGUAGCAAGAAAUAAAUGAAGUUAAUUCUAGUCUUGAGUCAAGCUACCAUAGCCUAAUUCAAUUCCUUCUUUUCUUCCCCCACAGACACAAUUUAUACCCUCGAAUAGCUUCCUACAGAAAGCUCUCUCUCUCCCUGAAAAAAUUUCUCUUCUUUUCACUCUUCUGGUCAUAGAUUUUGAAAUUGCUAACCAGCUCUCUUUAUGGACAGGUAUCUAAAUUAACAAAUAUGGAAAUUGGCAUGUCCACAGAAAGAUUCAGAACAAGAAUAAAUCAGAUUUCUUGAAAACUAAUCUGACCCCCUUUCAGAAGCAUAGGCUACCUUCUGCAUAAUCAUUCCUUCCGCUGAACAGAUGGCUCUCUGUGACCCAGUGAUCGUGAUUUUCCUAUCAUUUGUUCCAGACAUGAAAUCACCUCUAUCUGAUAUUUUUAUCCUGGCUCCACUAACCUGCCAAAAUAAUGUGCCCCACUUCAGUCCGUAUACAAUAUCAUAUAUCUCAAGGAAUGUUUGUUAUUUAAAAACCUGGCUGAUUUCCAUUAUAUUUCUUCCACCACGACCAACAACCAGUCCAAUAUGCUCAUCGGCAAUGCCAAUUGUCACCGAGUUGGUACGAUCCUCCUGGAAAACAUCAGAAGGCCAUCAAUCACAAUCUCCAUCACAUAGAUGUUUCAUGACCAUCACAAAAAUGUUUUGUGAACAUCACUGAACUAAAGACAUUGACCGAAGAAGAUACUCAGAAAGACGAGAGGCAGAUAAGCUACAAAUAAUGCUAUCACCUACAAUUUAAGAAAAAUAGUUUCUGCUCAAAAAUAGAUUCAAACACCAAAAUAGCAAAUCUUAAAAAUCCGUAUCAAAUUAUCAACUAUAAAAACCUAUACAAUCUACAAUGAACACAAGUAAAUUAUGGAAUAUACAAAGAAUGAAUUCAUGCAACAUAGCAAUGUUAUAAUGUUUGUCAAAACGUUCAGAGUUGUACAACAUGAUUCUUCUAUUUAAUAUUUAAAAUUUUUGGGAGCCAAUUCUCAGCAGAGCUCAAAUUUUCUGUAGACAAUCCAUAGAGAAUAUAAAGAAAAUCUCCAUUGAACAGAAAUACUCAAAACUGAUUUCAUAAAUAUUUCAUAAUACAAGAAGAGUACCUAGCAAUGAGCAUCAAACUUAUAUGUUCAUAGCAUGAAAGGUAACCUAUUUCUGAGAAAUAGAGAUUGAAUAUAGCACAAAGAAGUACAAUUAAAAUUAAAUCAUUAUGGAAUUGGAUAAACCUUGUUAUUCUGAAACUUUCCACCUGCCCCAUUUGGAUAGUUCAUCGAAUUGUAUGCUCCAGCAUAUGAAAAUGGGGUAUGCAUAGUCUGAGAGUAGUGAGGGUCUUCAACUAAUUUAGAUAAAAUGAGAUCAAUUGCCCGAAUCUGCUCCUCUAAAGUUCCAGUCAAUGUCACCAGCCUAUCAUUCAACCCAUAAAAAUUAUUAUCCAGAGGAGAUAUCUUAAUGCCAGCUUGAGACUCUUCAAUAAAUGACUUUAUAAUAGCUCCUCCCUUCCCAAUUAUGCUACCACAAGAGCUAUUUGGAACAAUUAGUCUCACUUUUGUUCUUGUAUCAAAAUCAACACCAUCUUCAGCAUGAAACUCACUAAAUAAUUUAGCAAGAAUAAGUUCCACAGCCUUUAUCACAUCAUCCAAGGUUCCAGAUAUCAUAAUUAUCCUAUCAGAGGUUCCUGGGAAAAAUUCAUAAUUGCGUGACAACUGAAUUCGUGCUCCAGACUGCGACUGAAAAUCAGUAAUUGUGGCACCACCCUUUCCAAUAACUGAACCAGCUGCAGCAUUUGAAACAAGAAAUCUAAUGUAUGUUGCCUUCUCAACAGAAUCAGAAGUCGGCGAUUUCGGCGGUGGAGGAGAUCUCUUGCGCGGCGCCUCCGGUGACGACACAUAAGAAGACUCCGUGGAUUCCAUUGCCGUUAUCUUCUUCACUACCUCAAUGGCAGGAGAGCGAGAGAUGAAGAGAGAAGAGAAUGUAGUGUUGGUUCAGCGUUCAAGUGAAAGGAAUUGAGUUGUUUCUGUGGUGCGUGAGAAGCUGAGGGCUGAGCUGAGGUAAGAGAGAGAUCUGGCAGGCGUCAAGUGGCCUCUGUGACUCUGCAAUUUGUAAUGGCUAAUUAACGCU
rnacentral:misc_RNA from 1 species